UAUGCAAUGAUAGUACAACACAACCGGUAAAGCUAUCGAACUUCAUGGAAUGUACAAUCGCAAAUAGAGUGCCACUAGGUGCUCUCAUCAACAUUGCUGGAUCGAGUAACAAACGAAGAACCGCAGUGACAUUCAACACUUUUCCGAUUGAAACGUUUGUCUUUCCGCUCCCAUUUACCGAUUCUUAAGGUUGAUUAGAAUACCAAAUCCAGCCAGCGUCAUGCACCAUUUCGCUUUAUCGUCGCACGAGUCUCAAGAACACACAAUAGUACAACGGGCUCACGGUAACGCACAUAUCAAUAAACAUGUCUCUAUCAAUGUGUAGGCCAUACUCUACUGCUAAGACCACACCGCAGUACACGGCCAGAGUAGCAACAAGAUCAUUAAAUUCUUACUCACCAUACGCCCACCCCAUCUUAACCUUUCCCCCGUCACACAAUAACCUUGCCACGAUUGCGACGGUAGUCAAAUUUUCGUGUCGUCUCCAGUCGAAUGCCAAUGCUGCGAUUGUAAAAACGGCGUUUUGUUUUGUAGUUUUAACCUUUCUCACGCCAUCCAUCCGCAUUCCGUCAUUCGGCUGGUUUCGCUGGCUGCCGUUUCUGUUGGCGGAUUAACACAACUCAACUCAAUCUUGCAGCAGCCGAGCGCCGCAGCCAGCCUCGCUCGCAAACAAGAUAGCGCUAAGAGGGAGGUCGGUCGGCUCCCGGAGGUGAGCUCGUCAAACCGUAUUGUCCUCGUUUUGGCCUGGGAACUCCAGGUCGGGUGUACGCGAGAUUAUUUCACCGAGCAAAGCAAACGAUUAACCGAUCGGAAUCAAUGGAGGCGCCUAGUAACCAAUAAAAGCCACUCGACAUGGUGUGUCAGCGUGCGUUUAGAGAUCGGCCCGUAAUUGUUUGGUCGACGUUUUACAAGUUGAAGGGAUUGCUUUCAAAGUGGAAAUGGCGAAUCGCGUCGCACAUUCUACGCCCAACCAUAGGAUGGGGGUUGAAGUGAGUAAAGCCAUACAUCGAUGAUGGAGGCUUUCUUCUUUAUUGUGUUAGGAAGCAAUUUGAAUUAUUUACUCAAAAAACCACCUUUACGCUGCGUGGCUGUGUAGUAAACAUAAAUAGGCUUUAUAAAAUCAUUUUCAUGCGUUAUUUAAUUUAAGCUGUAAGUUAGAACAAAAUCCCGCUCAUAACCUUAAUUACACUAAAACCGCGAAAUUGACUAAACAAAAUUGUCAACAUGGGGGCGUUUGAGGUACCUGUUUUUUUUACUCCUCAUUCUACAAUAAUUAAUGAGAGCGCUGUCUCCUGUACUUGUCCUUCGUGUUUGAUGAUGGGCUUACAAGCAAUCCCAAAGCGGCUUGGUUUUCGGCGUGGAAAUGUCUUUUUUUAAUUUCGUUAAAAAGACGGUUGGGCGGCUGCUUCGUGGCUAAUUAGAGCCUCAGAGUUGAUCAGCAACCUAAUUAAUACAAAACAAUCCAAAGAUUCCAACUAGAGGACGAUGAAGAGGCGGGAACAUAAUAGCUAUCAUCAGGUGCGCUCCUAAAGCUUGCGGUUUGACGCGUACAGCAUAUUACUGCCCGCAUAAGCUCAAGGCUAUAAAACCGGGUUGAGAAAUUAACAUUCCUGCACCGUUCUGUUCCGACAGAGACCAUGCACACACACACACACAGGGGAUGACGAACUUCUGCCAGGAUCGGGACGAGAACCGUAUCGCUAAGAUAAAGCCGCACGAAAGCGAUUGAAUUUCAAAGUUUUGUGCGAGAUAAUUCAGUCCACGAUCGGGGUGGCACGUUUCCACUCAAGGUAUUGAUCGAAGGGAUUUCAUCUCGUCGUAUCUCGAUUGAAACUAAAAGCGAUGCCCGUGUGCUGUGUUCACUACCUUCACUACCUAGCUACAUUCGUGAAAUGGACAGUGGAAUGCCUUACACGGUAAUAAGCCCACAAACCAAUAGAUAGAUUUUGCGGAAAGAUCUGGCAAGCCGUAUAUAUUACGUGGCAAAUACACAAAUGCCAUUCCCGCGAGCACUGUCGUCCCUUGUGAUCCUUAAAAGAGAAUCAAACAAUGGCGGAGGAUAUCCUGCAACACACGCCCUUUUAUAGCGAGACUGCAACGCAAUUCUACAAUGCCAAUCGCUUUAGAUGGAACGCACUCACAUGAACGCUACCCACCAGAACACAAUCUACCAUCGAUUAAGAACAGCUUGUUUUGCUUUCGUGUGAGAAAAAAUGUGACCCACUUGCCACCGGUUCAUCACAUGGAACGGCAUGCACGGCAUGAGGCGUAGAAAUGUUGCCAUACCCUUUUGCUCCGGAACUGUACUUCGGUCGCACGAUCAACGAUCAAUCAAAACGAUCGAAUGCAAACAUCCACCCACUUGGCAGUGAUCGGUGUGCAGUGGUGGUUUAUGUUUUUUUUUUCGCUUUCACUGCAAGCUUUCUGAAUGUCGUGCAGUUACAGAAGGGGGGUAUGACACCAGGAAAACAAAAAAAAAACACACACACAGUUAACCCAUUAUCGUUUACAUUCCACAUGCCGUUGUUACGUGAAAAUUAAUUACCACCCAUUCUAAUCAGCGCACAGCAUCGGUGCACUUGCGCUGGCCUGCAAUUAUCGUAUCGCUCGCACAUUUUUAGUUCGUAUCAAUAUUCCCACCCUUGAAGGUGGUAAACAGAACCCGCCAUAGCGCCUAAAAUAGAUGAAACGGAAAAGAAGAGCGCGAUCCCCCGAAACAAACAACUGAUCGUGAGCAUCAUCAUGCAUGCAAGGAAGCUGUGAUAGGGACACGACACGGUUUUUACUACGCGCCGUUGCCAGCAACGGGAAGCAACGGGACGGUACGGGUCUGCGGGCACCGCUAUCGCCCGCAGCAAUGUGGCCGAGUAAGUUAAGCGUUAGCCUCCCGAGACCCGCAAACAGUGGUAGGUGGUUAUUUACGAUCAUAUUUACAACUGAUUGUGAUUGUGAACUUUUAGAAAAGUCCAUCAGCUGGCCAGGGUCGCCAGCCAGCCAGUAGUUGCCGUGAAUCUUGGCGGUGGUGUUUCGUGUACGAACGUUGGCAUACGGUGAAUUCCCACGUUGCAAUAGAGAAUGGGUUGUGGGGCUUCACAUGCGUGCAAAUAAAAUCAUUGCCUCUUGAUGUUGG